UGAUACAGGGGUGAAAGUGCUCAGCUGAUAAAUAGAAGAUUGGGGAUUCACAACUUUCAGCUGCUUUGCCAGAGAACAAGAACGCAGUCCGUUCCAUGAAGAUGUACUGCCCACGUGGGGCAGUUUACUCUGCGCAACAGAAUCGACUCAAGUCUAGUGGAGCUUUGCUUGGUUAGUGGCAUGCAUUAUUCCUGACCAGAUCUUCAUGUGAUUGUGUGAUUUAUCCAGGUUACUAAAUGUAGCUUGGUAAUAUUUAUUAAGGACAAAGACAAACAAAGACACAUCGUCUGCACGAGGGAAAUCAUUAACACAGGUCAUAAUGCCAUCCAAUGAUUUGCUUAGAUUCGUGGACUUUAGAAGGACCUGAGAGGGCAAAGGAAAAUAUCACAAAAGCAUGACUGGAGGCAGAGCAAUACUUCACGGUUAUAGUUCUCAGGUCUCUUGCUUUCUGAUGGUCGGACC